GUGAGUUCUAGCUUUCAUCUUUAUUCAUUUCCUCAGGGUUUGGCACAUGGACAGACAUCAGUGAUGCCUCUAUCACUUCUGGUCUUAGAGAGUUGUCUGAGGCACUAAGUGUUUAAGUGACUUGUCCAAGAUUAUACAGACAGGGUGGAGAAGAGACACAACUGGGGUCCAAGUCUUCCAGAUCCCUUCAUCAGCUCUCUGGCCACUCAGAUAUCUGGAGGAUGUACAGAUGAAAAGAAAGAUGACAGAUAUAGAUAGGAGGAUGAGCUUUCCCCCUUAACUUCCUAUUUCACUGACUCCAAACCAUCUUAGAAUCCAUUUGGGAGAGCAGGAAAGCUGAACAAAUUGUCAUCAAUUUGUCCCAUCAUCUCAUGCAUUCUCCCUUCCUUCAGGUUGCUUUACUAAUUAUAUGGCUUUCUUUCUUUCUCUUUCUUUCUUUCUUUCUUUCUUUCUUUCUUUCUUUCUUUCUUUCUUUCUUUCUUUCUUUCUUUCUUUCUUUCUUUCUUUCUUUCUUUCUUUCUUUCUUUCUUUCUUUCUUUCUUUCUUUCUUUCUUUCUUUCUUUCUUUCUUCUUUCUUUCUUUCUUUCUUUCUUUCUUUCUUUCUUUCUCUUUCUUUCUUUCUUUCUUUCUUUCUUUCUUUCUUUCUUUCUUUCUUUCUUUCUUUCUUCUUUCUUUCUUCUUUCUUUCUUCUUUCUUUCUCUCUUUCUUCUAAUUACAGGGCCCUCCCAUUCACUGUAUUUAAUUAAAGACCUAUUGUCUACAGAGAACCUUGUUGUGCUCUGGAGGAAGAAGCAAACAUUAGAUAUGAUACAGGCUUUUUUUCUGUAAUUGUACAGCUUGGGACUAGCACAAAAACAAAUAUAGAGCCUGGUUAGUAAAUAAGAGGACAAGUAGACUUCUGGGGGGCUUUAGCAUAUAGUGAGUAAAGAAGAGUAGGUUUAGAUAAAACUGGAUAGCUUAGGUUCUAAGGGACUUGGAUGCCAGGAUGAGGAGUUUUAUUAAAUUCUAUGAUUCUACAGAAAACAAAUAAAAUAAAGCAAUCUUGUAUAUGAACUAUUGAA
rnacentral:lncRNA from 1 species